GAUGAACCCUGGCGGCGUGCCUAACACAUGCAAGUCGAGCGAUUCUCUUCGGAGAAGAGCGGCGGACGGGUGAGUAACGCGUGGGUAACCUGCCCUGUACACACGGAUAACAUACCGAAAGGUAUGCUAAUACGAGAUAAUAUGCUUUUAUCGCAUGGUAGAAGUAUCAAAGCUCCGGCGGUACAGGAUGGACCCGCGUCUGAUUUGCUAGUUGGUAAGGUAACGGCUUACCAAGGCGACGAUCAGUAGCCGACCUGAGAGGGUGAUCGGCCACAUUGGAACUGAGACCCGGUCCAAACUCCUACGGGAGGCAGCAGUGGGGAAUAUUGCACAAUGGGCGAAAGCCUGAUGCAGCAACGCCGCGUGAGCGAUGAAGGCCUUCGGGUCGUAAAGCUCUGUCCUCAAGGAAGAUAAUGACGGUACUUGAGGAGGAAGCCCCGGCUAACUACGUGCCAGCCGCCGCGGUAA
rnacentral:rRNA from 1 species